ACAUGAUCUAAGAGCAAAAGCCAGUGCAGCACCUUUCCCACUUCUUUGUUGUGUUCAAAAUAUUGACGAGUAACAUAAUGACAGCAAUUUAAUUUGUCGAAACCCAUCGUUAACGAAAGAAGACGCCCUUGAGAUCCGCUGCUUCUACUCAAAGGAACAAGACCAAGAAUUUUGAAUAAGCCUGUGAUAUACAGGGUAAAAAGUCAGGUAAGCGUAGCAGGAUUUGAUCUCAUAAUUUUGAGAACUGAAGCAAAAUAUUAAACAUCAGUAAGUUCAGCUGCAGGGAAAAUUGAUAACUAAGCAAUGAUCCAUUCUUUUUUCUUUUAAUCUUAAUUAUAGAA